ACAAUGCGGGACUAUCAGUCUUGCAAUUGGAUUGAGAACAAUGUACAACUCUUAUCGAUAAGCCAUUGGAGGGCAAGUCUGGUGCCAGCAGCCGCGGUAAUUCCAGCUCCAAUAGCGUAUAUUAACGUUGUUGCAGUUAAAAAGCUCGUAGUUGAAGUGUGGGUGAUCGCUGUUGUGAGACUUCGGUCUCUCGACAGUAAGUCACCCCCUUCCAGUAUCCAGUAGUGGGUAUUCAGUUACUUACUAUUGUGUGUUGGUCAUUUACUGUGAGAAAAUUAGAGUGUUCAAAGCAGGCGUUUGCUUGAAUAGAUUAGCAUGGAAUAAUAAUUGAAGGCUUUCGUGUUCGAUUUGAUUGGUUUGUUCAUGGAAGCAAGGUUAAAAGGAACAGUUGGGGGUAUUCAUAUUCAC
rnacentral:rRNA from 1 species